rnacentral:snRNA from 1 species
AUACUUACCUUGCCUUGCACUCCGGAGAUCACGUUUUCUGGUUGCCUUGGGGUCGGCCUGCAUUGCACAGCGUGGUGUCGAUCCUUCGUCUUGGGACCUUCGGGGACCUCGUGGGCGCAAUUUUUGCUUUCUCCAUCACUUGUGAUGUGU